UACGUAGGUGGCAAGCGUUGUCCGGAUUUACUGGGCGUAAAGCGCGUGUAGGCGGUUCCGCAGGUCAGGUGUGAAAGCCCAGGGCUCAACCCUGGAAGUGCACUUGAUACUACGGAGCUUGAGUACUGAAGAGGAGAGCGGAAUUCCCGGUGUAGAGGUGAAAUUCGUAGAUAUCGGGAGGAACACCAGUGGCGAAGGCGGCUCUCUGGGCAGAUACUGACGCUGAGACGCGAAAGCAUGGGGAGCAAACAGG
rnacentral:rRNA from 1 species